rnacentral:rRNA from 1 species
AAUAUUGCGCAAUGGGCGAAAGCCUGACGCAGCAACGCCGCGUGAGGGAUGACGGCCUUCGGGUUGUAAACCUCUUUCAAGCAGGGACGAUAAUGACGGUACCUGCAGAAGAAGCUCCGGCCAACUACGUGCCAGCAGCCGCGGUAAUACGUAGGGAGCGAGCGUUGUCCGGAUUCAUUGGGCGUAAAGAGCUCGUAGGCGGCUUGAUAAGUCGGAUGUGAAACCUCCAGGCUCAACCUGGAGUCGCCAUCCGAUACUGUCAUAGCUAGAGUCCGGUAGGGGCCCACGGAACUCCUGGUGUAGCGGUGAAAUGCGCAGAUAUCAGGAAGAACACCAGUGGCGAAGGCGGUGGGCUGGGCCGGUACUGACGCUGAGGAGCGAAAGCGUGGGGAGCGA